UGAACGCUGGCGGCAUGCCUUACACAUGCAAGUCGAACGGCAGCGCGGACUUCGGUCUGGCGGCGAGUGGCGAACGGGUGAGUAAUACAUCGGAACGUACCCUGUUGUGGGGGAUAACUAGUCGAAAGAUUAGCUAAUACCGCAUACGACCUGAGGGUGAAAGCGGGGGACCUUCGGGCCUCGUGCUACAAGAGCAGCCGAUGUCAGAUUAGCUUGUUGGUGAGGUAAAAGCUCACCAAGGCGACGAUCUGUAGCUGGUCUGAGAGGACGACCAGCCACACUGGGACUGAGACACGGCCCAGACUCCUACGGGAGGCAGCAGUGGGGAAUUUUGGACAAUGGGCGAAAGCCUGAUCCAGCAAUGCCGCGUGUGUG
rnacentral:rRNA from 1 species